UACGUAGGGACCGAGCGUUGUCCGGAUUCAUUGGGCGUAAAGAGCUCGUAGGCGGCUGUUCAAGUCGAACGUGAAAACUCGGAGCUCAACUCCGAGCCUGCGUUCGAGACUGGAUGGCUAGAGUCUGGUAGGGGGAUCUGGAAUUCCUGGUGUAGCGGUGGAAUGCGCAGAUAUCAGGAGGAACACCGGUGGCGAAGGCGGCAUCCUGGACCGGUAUUGACGCUGAGGCGCGAAAGCCAGGGGAGCAAACGGG
rnacentral:rRNA from 1 species